GAUCAUGGCUCAGGACGAACGCUGGCGGCGUGCCUAAUACAUGCAAGUAGAACGCACAGUUUAUACCGUAGCUUGCUACACCAUAGACUGUGAGUUGCGAACGGGCGAGUAACGCGUAGGUAACCUGCCUGGUAGCGGGGGGAUAACUAUUGGAAACGAUAGCUAAUACCGCAUAAUAUUAAUUAUUGCAUGAUAAUUGAUUAAAAGGUGCAAUUGCACCACUACCAGAUGG
rnacentral:rRNA from 1 species